rnacentral:rRNA from 1 species
UAACACGUGAGCAACCUGCCUUUCAGAGGGGGAUAACAGUUGGAAACGACUGCUAAUACCGCAUAACGCUGCGAUGGGGCAUCCCGAUGCAGCCAAAGGAGCAAUCCGCUGGAAGAUGGGCUCGCGGCCGAUUAGCUAGUUGGUGGGGCAACGGCCCACCAAGGCGACGAUCGGUAGCCGGACUGAGAGGUUGAUCCGGCCACAUUGGGACUGAGACACGGCCAGACUCCUACGGGAGGCAGCAG